AAGUCGUAACAAGGUUUCCGUAGGUGAACCUGCGGAAGGAUCAUUAAAGAUUCGGGCUUCGGCCCCCUAAUCCUCAGCUGUGCGCUCCGGCUGCACGCUGUCGAACACUUCACACCUGUGCACCUUUUCGGUUGCGGCGUUCGCGUCGCUUCCGCUUUACAUAUAACAACUCAGUCUAGAAUGUAUAAAACUAUAAAUGAAACAACUUUCAACAACGGAUCUCUUGGCUCUC
rnacentral:misc_RNA from 1 species